rnacentral:rRNA from 1 species
AUUGAACGCUGGCGGCAGGCUUAACACAUGCAAGUCGAACGGUAACAGAACUAGCUUGCUAGUUGCUGACGAGUGGCGGACGGGUGGGUAACGCGUAGGAAUCUGCCUAGUAGUGGGGGACAACAUGUGGAGACGCAUGCUAAUACCGCAUACGCCCUACGGGGGAAAGGAGGGGAUCUUCGGACCUUUCGCUAUUAGAUGAGCCUGCGUAAGAUUAGCUAGUUGGUGGGGUAAAGGCUCACCGAGGCGACGAUCUUUAGCUGGUCUGAGAGGAUGAUCAGCCACACUGGGACUGAGACACGGCCCAG